rnacentral:rRNA from 1 species
CCUACGGGCGGCUGCAGUGAGGAAUAUUGGUCAAUGAGCGAGAGCCUGAACCAGCCAAGUCGCGUGAGGGAAGACGGUCCUAUGGAUUGUAAACCUCUUUUGUCGGGGAGCAAAAAGGCCUCGUGAGGCCACAAGUGAGAGUACCCGAAGAAAAAGCAUCGGCUAAAUCCGUGCCAGCAGCCGCGGUAAUACGGAGGAUGCGAGCGUUAUCCGGAUUUAUUGGGUUUAAAGGGUGCGUAGGCGGAAUGGAAAGGCCGCGGUAAAAUCGAGAGGCUCAACCUCUUUCCGCAGUUGAAACGGUCGGUGUUGAGUGUGCGAGAAGUAUGCGGAAUGCGUGGUGUAGCGGUGAAAUGCAUAGAUAUCACGCAGAACUCCGAUUGCGAAGGCAGCAAACCGGCGCCUGACUGACGCUGAGGCACGAAAGUGCGGGUAUCGAACAGGAUUAGAUACCCGGGUAGUC